GACGAACCGUGCGAACGUUGUUCGGAAUCACUGGGCUUAAAGGGUGCGUAGGCGGGUCUUUAAGUCAGGGGUGAAAUCCUGGAGCUCAACUCCAGAACUGCCUUUGAUACUGGGAAUCUCGAGUCCGGGAGAGGUGAGUGGAACUGCGAGUGUAGAGGUGAAAUUCGUAGAUAUUCGGAGGAACACCAGUGGCGAAGGCGGCUCACUGGUCCGGUACUGACGCUGAGGUGCGAAAGCGUGGGGAGCAAACAGG
rnacentral:rRNA from 1 species